GAUGAACGCUGGCGGCGUGCCUAACACAUGCAAGUCGAGCGGCAGCGAGGGGUGCUUGCACCCUGUCGGCGAGCGGCGGACGGCUGAGUAACGCGUGGGAACGUGCCCCAAAGUGAGGAAUAACUGCCCGAAAGGGUAGCUAAUACCGCAUAUUAUCUUCGGAUCAAAGGAUUUAUCCGCUUUGGGAGCGGCUCGCGUCGGAUUAGGUAGUUGGUGAGGCAAUGGCUCACCAAGCCGACGAUCCGUAGCUGGUCUGAGAGGAUGACCAGCCAGACUGGAACUGAGACACGGUCCAGACUCCUACGGGAGGCAGCAGUGAGGAAUCUUCCACAAUGGGCGAAAGCCUGAUGGAGCAACGCCGCGUGCAGGACGAAGGCCUUCGGGUUGUAAACUGCUUUUAUAAGUGAGGAAUAUGACGGUAACUUAUGAAUAAGGAUCGGCUAACUACGUG
rnacentral:rRNA from 1 species